AAUCACCCUUGAAUAAAGGCAGUAGGAAGGCAUCCUGGGCCUGAGGCAGUCUGAACAGGUCAUAGGAGAAGGCGCCCUACCCGCCUGUUUCCGGACUUCAGCUGUACACGGUCAUCUAAGGCGUACGCAUUCCUUCUAAGACCAUGGUUCUUAUAGCCUGAGAACUGCAUCAUUCUGAACUGGGGGCUUUGGAGAGCAAUCCCUCUGUGCGAUCUCACCACCCUCGGGAGAGAAGAAACUGGACAGGACGGCAGGCCCGGGGAGGCCCAGUGACCUGUGGACGGUCCGGGGCCUGCAGUCCUCACACACAUCUGACAUGUUCCCUGCUGCAUCCUGGGAGGCGUGAGCUCCCCUAGACGUCUGCUUGUCGAAUGAGGCGGGAGACCUAGGCCUGUCAAGGAGACAUGGGUCAGCACGAGAGAGAAGCCGGGUACAGAUGUGACGUAGGGGGCCGGUUGGGUAUGGGUCACCGGGGCCCCCCAAGAGCCUUGAGCUGGAUGCCCACUGUCUUCUGAGCACCUACAGCUCCAGCCCGGGCCCUGGGGCAUCAUGCUAAACAAGCAGACAGCACGGAGAGCCCCACGUCUGAGAAGGACAAUUCUGCCGUUGACGAGGUUUUGAUAAGAGACAACCGGGAAGGCGGUGUGGCCAGUGGUCAGGGACACCUGGGGAGGCAGCCUGCAUGGAAAGUGGGUGACCCUGCAUAACGUGCAAACAGCUGAAGGCCUGCAAAGAAACAGACAGACUGUUUGCUGAAGAAGAAGCAACGUGGAGAUCCUGCCUGAGAUCCCAGCCUGCUGGCCUGCUCUGCAUAAUUUCGACUCGUCAGCCCCAACAACUGCGGGAGCCAGUUCUUUAAAGCCCACCUCUCUGCCUGUAUACGUAUGUGUCGUGUCAGUUUGGCUUCUGCGGGGAGCCCUGGAUGACACAACUGCACCCUUUGAAGUGGUUCCAGUUGCGCCAGUAGAUACUGUGACCUUCCUUGCCUGACACCAGGUCCUUCAUAGCAAACAGGCACCAGUUCCGGGUCCAUCAACGCAGUCCUGCGUGGCCUGUACAAUGUGGACGCAACCAGGCGAGGAGAAAACAUCAGGACAUAUUCAGUCUCUGCAGCAGGAGUGAGACCCGGGCCCUGUACUCUCAGUCUCCGCAGCAGGGACCUGGGUGGUACCCUCAUGGCCACGACCAAGUUCGGCGUGAGGCACUGUUGUCCCCGAGCUCCCGGGCGCUCCUUUAGAGAUGGGCUAGAAGGACAUUCGAGGGCGACACCUGUGCCUGUCACUAAGCCACUUGGAGGAGGGAUGUCUGCUCCUGGAUUCUUCACUGUAUUCCCAGUGGUAGGGUUUUUAAGGAAGUUCCAGGGCUUACUUUCUCUCAUUGAACCUGAAAAUCUCCACCCCCUCCCCCCCCUCCCCCGCUGCCUUUUAUGUGAAAUGGAUGUUGGAUGAAGGGACCACUAGGCCAUCUGAGUUUAGACUGUCCACUGCGUGGUCCUGUCCCACUGCUGAGGGGAGGAAGGGAAGGAGACCAGGAGGGGAUCCCGGAAAGUGCCCUGCAUUCUCAGGAUGGAUUGGGAUCUUACCUCCAUGUCCAUCUUUGUCACAGGCGAAACCCUCACUGCCCUCAUUGUCAAGCUCUGUGAUUAGGUCUGUGUAGCCCCUUUGAUCGGUGUUGUAGCUGUUUACAACCUGGGCAAAGCAUGGCCUCCCGCAGCUCCCAGCCCUGAAGCACCUGCAGCAUGGCAGGAAGAGGAAAAAUGAUUUUAUUGGAAUCUUCACGGUUUCAAUGGCAGUUCUCCUUGGGGAGGGCCCGAUGGGAUCCCGAACCCUCCUGGAAACACCACCACCUACCACUGGCCGGGGGGCCUCGUCCUUUCUGAAUUUAUUGGCUUCGGCAAGUCAGGUAUGCUCCCGGUGGCACCAGCAUCAACAGCGAGGAGAGGGCUCAGCAUCUUCUGAGUCUUUGUCACCAAGAACUGAAUUCUUGACAGGCAUGCUACUUCAGAGUGAGUCCCAUGAUUUCCAGACAGCAGGAGGCCAGAGGCCUCUUGCCCCCGGCCACCUGUGACCCAGGUGUCCCCACCUGUGGCCGCCUGCAUGAGCCUCAGGAGUUGGCACAAGCGUCCUGUGGCAUGAAUCGCCCCGUGAGCGGAGGCAGGGCCCAGGCAAGGGCUGGAGCUGCACAGAGGCUGGGGGUCCCUGGGGAGCCCCUGGGGGGAUCCCCCCUUGCCUGGAAAUCGAUCAGGCUCACCCUCUGCCAGCUGCACUGAGUCAGAGCCCUCCCGCCCCGUGGCCUGCGGCCCUCGGCCGUUCAGCUCCUGGAACAGCUGAGCUCUGGCCCCGGCCCAGCAUCCUGCGGGCCCCGUGGAAGCUGCCCCUGCCCACAGAUGUCCAGACACCUGCUCCAGCGGAGGGAUGGCUCUCGUCCUUACCUGGCAGGCACAUAAGAGAUGAGCCUCGCCUCCUUGCCUGCUGCGAGCAGCCGCCCAACGCUCACAGCUUCCGUUUCGUCCAGGGGUCGGGCGGCCGUGGCCUUGGCAGAAUCCGGCACUGCCGGUUACCCUACCAGGAUUCGGGCCAAAAGGCAGUGUCCCGGAGCUCAACAGGGGCCGUCUGGCAGCAGGAGGUGACCAUGGCCCUCCUGCUUGGCCGUGGGGUCCACAGACUGCCCCACGUGCACCUCCUGUGCCCCUGAGACCCUGCUGUACGUCUAGACCCCUCGCCCAGAAGAGCAGGCGAACGUUCCUGCCUGUGCAGCGGUAUGUUCUUGGGAUUCUUUGAACCCUUUUGACAAAUCAAGAUGUUUAUUUUUUAUUUUUAUGGCAAACUCUAACACUUCUCUUUUGACCUGAUAUUUUGCAAAUUGAAAGGUGUCUCAGGGUUGGUUGCUAGGGAAACAGGUGAAGGUUUGGGCAGGAGGCCAACAGGGAGGCUGAGUGGCUGUGUGGUGUCCCCGAAGCGUGCAGAGACCCUCACACAGAACGUGGUGGCAUCUUUGCCGAGAGGGCAGCCGCUCCUGCGGUCUGUCUGCUCCUGAGUUUAUGGUCAGCGGCUUCCCUGAGGAGCCAAAGGGCUAACUCGGCCUGGUCCCGAUGGUAUGGGCUUUGCGUGGACCAGCACAGCGUCUGCUGCUCUGCUCAGGGAACCUCAAAACCCAAGGUGUCCUGGGGCACCUGGGGGGCUCAGUCGGUGAAGCGUCCGACUUCGGCUCCGGUCAUGAUCUCACGGUUCGUGGGUUCGAGCCCUGCGUCGGGUUCUGUGCUGACAGCUUGGAGCCUGGAGCCUGCCUCAGAUUCUGUGUCUCCCUCCGUCUCUGCUCUUCCCCUGCUCGCACUGUC